GCUACUGUCCCAAAGCAACAGCAUUUGGCAACAAGAUCAUAAGAUUACAGGACAUCUUGGUAAUGGAAGAAAGUAGAGAGAGAGAGAGAGCAUUGAUUGAGCCGCUUACGCCAAUAUCACUUACCACACUUUCUGCAUCCUCGUGUUGGCCACCUUCGUCUUCAUCUGCACUGUCCUGAGACUUCUCAUAACCUGUCAUUUUCUCCGUAGCCGAUUCUUAUAUUGUCAGUGCGACAAGUUGAACAAGGUCAGUGCAAAAGGCCUCAGGAAAAGAAACAAAACGAACAUUGCCAUUAAUCCUCCUUGUUUCUCCUUAGCUGGGAGACCAUCCGAUCCUCCAAUGCGUCACUGCUGCUGCUUCGAUUAGCUCGGCAAUGGUUGCUGAAGGUUCCAGUCCCUCGUAGGUUGUUCUGAUCUUCUUUAUUCCUUCUCCGUCAUCUCCUUUCUCACCUCUCCUGAAGCUAAAGAGAAAUAAGAACGAAUAGAACAUGACAUUCUUGGUGAUGGCUCUACUUCUUCUCUCCUUUCCCAUACACCACUACACGCCAACUCCAGAAAACAAAACAAAACAAAACCCAAAGCCAAUAAAACGAAGAGAAAGAAGUUAAAAAAGAGACUCAGUGCACUCCUCCCUUCUCAUACCCUCUUUUGCCUCGCAUAACCCUACACAGUAUACUGCCUCCACGAUAAAUGACCGGAACACCCGUCUCCUUCCAACCCACACAACAUACUGACCCGAAGGGCAGUUCGGGGACUCGGAGAUCAAGGAGGCGUUCUUCCGCCGGUUCUACGUAUCGAUAGGCGUCGUUUUGGAAAGGGAAGCUCUGUGACUGUGUCCGUCUCUCUCUCAGCAGCAGCAGCAGCCAAUGCCACCUACUCGCUCGCUGCUAUCCUUUUCGCCAUUCAUGGACGCAGCAGAGGGAGCAGUUAUCGACCUCAAUAAAUACCGCAGCACUUUCCUUAGUAUAGCGCCAAUGUAUGCUGUUCGUUGAUCUAUUCAAGAGAUUACAUGAAGUAAAAGCACCAUACUUUUCAUGAUAUCAUUACUCAUUUAUCACAUGUAUACAACCUAAUGUUGAGAGGAAGCUUCGU
rnacentral:lncRNA from 1 species